ensembl:lncRNA
UUUGGUUCUUUGCUUCAUGGUUGAAUGUCUCCAAGUACACCUACAGGUCCUGAAGGAAAACAAGGAGAAAGUAGUGAUGGAAUCAUUAGGAAGGAAAGGUGAAGAAAAAAACUGGCGUCGCGGUCUGUUCUACAAUUCAACAAGAUCAGAGAAGAGAUACACUUGUUAUUAAAUCGUUCAAAGACCAGCUACAGUCCAACAGUGUCUCUUAGAGGUGUGUCCUUUGAAAUAAUUUUAGCUUUUUGCCUCUGGAUUUCUUUCAUCUCCGGAAUUCAGUAUACCCUAGAGUGUCUACAGAGCAACUCUCAAAGUCCAAACAAAAUUACAAGUAUACUGCCGCUGGGGAAAAAUCUAGAAUCUUUUAUUUUAUAUGAUACAAAGAAAACCGAUUGUUUAUACAGCUACAGCCUUGAAAAGUAAAAAGAAGAGAAUUUAUAAUGAACUAAGCAACCGUUGAAGCUCUGCAUCCAAAAGCUGAUGAGACGCUUGAAGAAUGGCCCGUGGUCCAGCUCGGAGGAUGCGGGGACUCGGAAGACGGAGAGGUAGUGGGACCCGGUGGCUCAGGUGCUUCGGGGAUCCUUCUUCCCCUCGGGAGUCUCCCCACUCCCGCCCUCCCGAAAUCCUGGACUCAGGGAGGGGGAGGCUGUGCGUUUCUGCCACAGGUGAGACCUACCCAGCCUGGAGAUCAGAGCUGGCACCUGUCCAGUUGCUGGGGCAGCCCCGGCUUUUAACGUAGUGUUUCUAGUCAAUAAUCCAAGCUGACUUUUCCCAGUUUGCGCUUGAAGGGCUGGAGAACCUGGCGCAAGCGAAAGCAAACAGGAACACUCGCAUCGCCUCCCCUCCUCCCGCGACCCUGGCAGAGAGAGAGAGACGAGAAGUCAUUUACUGUAGCGCACACACACCAUCAGGACUCUUUCCCACUCCAUCUUCCGACUCCCGCCACCUUGCACGGAAAUCGCAGCUCUGGCUUUCUCGAUCUGCUUUCCGGAUGAGUGAAUUUCUUUGCUCCUCUCUCCUGUCGGGGACCAUCUGAAACUGCCCCCAAGUUGCGUUCCCAGGGACCCUCCCCACUCCGUUUUCACUCGAGAACCAAAGAGCAGCUCACUUCGGCAUCCUCCAGAAGACAAACCCCAUCCAUUCAUUCAUCUGUGGGUGAACAAGAAGGAAAAGAAGAAGCAGAGGUGGGCCACCAGGCGAAGCGGGAGCGAGAGGAGGACAGUGCUGGAUGAAUGUAUUUUAAAUCUGGUGAAGGAAAACCAAUCUUAAGUCCUGGGCACUUCAGAACAAGUAAAUACAAUCAAUGCCUGAAGCCUGACGGCGCCAAAGCGACGAUCCAUCCGGGGCAGGACCAACCCUCACACUUCUCCGCGCUUAGGGGAGAGAAGAGGACGGCUGGGCCUCAACCCACAGGCUGUGGAGCUUGCGGUGGGUUGGGAAGGAAAACUCCUAGUGCGAAGUGAGGCAGAAAGAACGUUCUUAAUCGCUAAAAGUGAUCAGACGCCAUAAAGAAUAAUUGCACCUAUUAAAAUAGGGCUUCCCUGGUGGCUCAGUGGUAAAGAAUCCUCCUGCAAUGCAGGAGACCCGGGUUCGAUCCCUGGCUUGGGAAGAUCCCCUGGAGAAGGGAAUGGCAACCCACUCCAGCACUCUUCCUUGGAGAAUCGCAUAGAUGGAGGAGCCUGGUGGGGGACAGUCCAUGGGGUCGCACAGAGUCGGACACGACUGAAGUGACUAAGUGACAGCAGCAGCGUAAAAUAAGGUGUGUUGUAGAUAGAGAAGGAAAAGCCUGAGUGUAGAUCACAGGUGGUAGACGGAAUUCCUACCAUAUAUGAGGUGCUUCUCAUGUGUAAGAGGACCUGCAAACUCUGGCUGAACGAGACUCUGGCCCUGGAGUAGCUGUGCAGAGGGGACGGCUAGAUUCAACUGGGUCGCAGGUUAAGUCAUUAGCUGUAUUACCAUUAAUCAAACCAAAUCAAUUGAACCCUCUCUCAAUCCAUGCCUCUCCAAAUAAGCCAUUAGGGUCACCACCUAGUUAUAGGAUUCCCAUCCCCCCUUCCCCCUCCAGUUGAGUUUUCCUGAGUACCUGCACCUGAAGAGUUGCCUCCCCAGACCUGUGUCAGGAACCUGUUUCCUGGCAAGUUUCCAAAAGAAGUCUGUUCUCACAACCAUCAUCAUCACUAAAAGAACAGUGAUUUGGCAUUAAAACUGUGAUGUUUUAGAAUUCGAAUACUACAAUUGCUUGGCUUUUUAAACACUAGAAACAUAAAAGUGUAGGAGAAAUAUCUCUUUCCCCUUAUUAGAUAAUCAAGAGUGGUUACGAAUAAUAAAAUCUUUAAACUAGAAGGGGUUUUCCAACAAGUCUCUCUUACAUCCAGAGAUGAAAACCAAAC